rnacentral:rRNA from 1 species
UACGUAGGCAGCGAGCGUUGUUCGGAGUUACUGGGCGUAAAGAGUGCGUAGGCGGUUUUCUAAGUUUGGUGUGAAAUCUCCCGGCUUAACUGGGAGGUGCGCCGAAAACUGGAAGGCUUGAGUAUGGGAGAGGUAAGCGGAAUUCCUGGUGUAGCGGUGAAAUGCGUAGAUAUCAGGAGGAACACCGAUGGCGAAGGCAGGUCUCUGGGCAUUAACUGACGCUGAGGAGCGAAAGCAUGGGGAGCGAACAGG